CAGCUCACUGUGUAUCAGUGGAGAUUCUUCUUCUUCUUCUUCUCUGACCAAACUGUGAAGGUAGAAAGUGUGUGUGAGCUGAUGUGAACCAACAUCAUGGAUCAGGUCAGAGAGGAGGGAGUCCCUCCCUCUAAAACCACUCAGAGGAACUCAGCCUGGACCUGGAC